UACGGAGGGUGCAAACGUUGCUCGGAAUCAUUGGGCGUAAAGCGCACGUAGGCGGACUGUUAAGUCGGAUGUGAAAGCCCUCGGCUUAACCGAGGAAGUGCAUUCGAAACUGGCAGUCUUGAGUACAGAAGAGGGUCGCGGAAUUCCCGGUGUAGAGGUGAAAUUCGUAGAUAUCGGGAGGAACACCAGUGGCGAAGGCGGCGACCUGGGCUGAUACUGACGCUGAGGUGCGGAAAGCGAUGGGA
rnacentral:rRNA from 1 species